rnacentral:rRNA from 1 species
UAAAUUUAGAGUUUGAUCCUGGCUCAGGACGAACGCUGGCGGCGUGCUUAACACAUGCAAGUCGAGCGAUGAAGCUUCCUUCGGGAAGUGGAUUAGCGGCGGACGGGUGAGUAACACGUGGGUAACCUGCCUCAAAGUGGGGGAUAGCCUUCCGAAAGGAAGAUUAAUACCGCAUAAUAUAAGAGAAUCGCAUGAUUUUCUUAUCAAAGAUUUAUUGCUUUGAGAUGGGCCCGCGGCGCAUUAGCUAGUUGGUAAGGUAACGGCUUACCAAGGCAACGAUGCGUAGCCGACCUGAGAGGGUGAUCGGCCACAUUGGAACUGAGACACGGUCCAGACUCCUACGGGAGGCAGCAGUGGGGAAUAUUGCGCAAUGGGGGAAACCCUGACGCAGCAACGCCGCGUGGGUGAUGAAGGUCUUCGGAUUGUAAAGCCCUGUUUUCUAGGACGAUAAUGACGGUACUAGAGGAGGAAGCCACGGCUAACUACGUGCCAGCAGCCGCGGUAAUACGUAGGUGGCGAGCGUUGUCCGGAUUUACUGGGCGUAAAGGGUGCGUAGGCGGAUGUUUAAGUGGGAUGUGAAAUCCCCGGGCUUAACCUGGGGGCUGCAUUCCAAACUGGAUAUCUAGAGUGCAGGAGAGGAAAGCGGAAUUCCUAGUGUAGCGGUGAAAUGCGUAGAGAUUAGGAAGAACACCAGUGGCGAAGGCGGCUUUCUGGACUGUAACUGACGCUGAGGCACGAAAGCGUGGGUAGCAAACAGGAUUAGAUACCCUGGUAGUCCACGCCGUAAACGAUGGAUACUAGGUGUAGGGGGUAUCAACUCCCCCUGUGCCGCAGUUAACACAAUAAGUAUCCCGCCUGGGGAGUACGGUCGCAAGAUUAAAACUCAAAGGAAUUGACGGGGGCCCGCACAAGCAGCGGAGCAUGUGGUUUAAUUCGAAGCAACGCGAAGAACCUUACCUGGACUUGACAUCCCUUGCAUAGCCUAGAGAUAGGUGAAGCCCUUCGGGGCAAGGAGACAGGUGGUGCAUGGUUGUCGUCAGCUCGUGUCGUGAGAUGUUAGGUUAAGUCCUGCAACGAGCGCAACCCUUGUUAUUAGUUGCUACCAUUAAGUUGAGCACUCUAAUGAGACUGCCUGGGUAACCAGGAGGAAGGUGGGGAUGACGUCAAAUCAUCAUGCCCCUUAUGUCCAGGGCUACACACGUGCUACAAUGGUAGGUACAAUAAGACGCAAGACCGUGAGGUGGAGCAAAACUUAUAAAACCUAUCUCAGUUCGGAUUGUAGGCUGCAACUCGCCUACAUGAAGCUGGAGUUGCUAGUAAUCGCGAAUCAGAAUGUCGCGGUGAAUACGUUCCCGGGCCUUGUACACACCGCCCGUCACACCAUGAGAGCUGGUAACACCCGAAGUCCGUGAGGUAACCGUAAGGAACCAGCGGCCGAAGGUGGGAUUAGUGAUUGGGGUGAAGUCGUAACAAGGUAGCCGUAGGAGAACCUGCGGCUGGAUCACCUCCUUU